GCUCUGGUAGUAUAGUCCGGUCAAGUAUAGCGGCCUCUCGAGUCGCGGACCCGGGUCCGAAUCCCGGCCAGAGCACCA
rnacentral:tRNA from 3 species